rnacentral:rRNA from 1 species
UGAGGAAUAUUGGUCAAUGGGCGUAAGCCUGAACCAGCCAAGUCGCGUGAGGGAUGAAGGUUCUAUGGAUCGUAAACCUCUUUUAUAAGGGAAUAAAGUGCGGGACGUGUCCCGUUUUGUAUGUACCUUAUGAAUAAGGAUCGGCUAACUCCGUGCCAGCAGCCGCGGUAAUACGGAGGAUCCGAGCGUUAUCCGGAUUUAUUGGGUUUAAAGGGUGCGUAGGCGGCCUUUUAAGUCAGCGGUGAAAGUCUGUGGCUCAACCAUAGAAUUGCCGUUGAAACUGGGGGGCUUGAGUAUGUUUGAGGCAGGCGGAAUGCGUGGUGUAGCGGUGAAAUGCAUAGAUAUCACGCAGAACCCCGAUUGCGAAGGCAGCCUGCCAAGCCAUGACUGACGCUGAUGCACGAAAGCGUGGGGAUCAAACAGG